rnacentral:rRNA from 1 species
ACGAAGGGUGCAAGCGUUACUCGGAAUUACUGGGCGUAAAGCGUGCGUAGGUGGUUGUUUAAGUCUGUUGUGAAAGCCCUGGGCUCAACCUGGGAACUGCAGUGGAAACUGGACAACUAGAGUGUGGUAGAGGGUAGCGGAAUUCCUGGUGUAGCAGUGAAAUGCGUAGAGAUCAGGAGGAACAUCCAUGGCGAAGGCAGCUACCUGGACCAACACUGACACUGAGGCACGAAAGCGUGGGGAGCAAACAGGA